UUUCGGCCAUACCACGUUGAAACACUGGUUCACUUACGAUCAACUAAGUUAAGCAACGUAGUCUGAUCAGAACUUAGAUGGGUGAUCGCUUGGGAAUACAAGAUGCUGUAA